UUCUUGUAGGCUUCACAGCCAGUGUGGAGUUUGAACUCACAACCCUGAGAUCAAGACCUGAGCUGAGAUCAAAAGUCAGAUGUCUAACUGAUUGAGCCACCCAGAUGCCCCAACACUGACUCUUUGAAUAGACAAGGCCAGCUGUCUCGUAAAAUGACAAAUAUUCUGGGUUUGACUUGUUUCCCGUUGACUGUGGGAGUUAGGCUGAGAUUCGGUUAUAAACAUUUUUGACAGGAAUACGUUGUGACACAGGGUACUUCAUGAUUUAUCACUGGAUAUAUAUAUAUAUAUAUAUAUCACUCGAUAGAUUUUUAACACUGAUUUCAAGUAAUUUGUACCAAAAUCUUCUCAAAAAAUUCAGGGGACUAAAACAAUUCAUAUAUCCCAGUUUGGAUACAUACAGGCUUUUCGCCUGUUAUUCUCAGUUUUAGGGUCAGUGUCAAGGUAAAAUGAGACUAAAAGGUUUCAGAAAUAAUACUGUACUAUACAUAGGCUUUAUUCUACUUUCAUUUGUUUGGGCCUUUUUUGUUCCCUCUUGGGAUGUUACUUGGUCCCUUCUUGCUUUUCCCAGCCCAGGACAUACCUGUCUUAAUGUUAGGAUGGGAAGUGCCUUGGGGUCACCGACAAAAAGGUGUCCACUUUGUUGUGACUUUGGUCACUUGGCAUGGCUGAGUUUCCUACCCUGUAAAGUGAGUGUGGUGAUAUGAUACAGUGACCUAUGGAUCCAUUGAGAUCAUGUUGGUAAUGAGACAUUCCAUUCAUUCCACAUUUAUUUGAACACUGGCUGGGGCUCUGUACCAGGCUCACGAGAGGAUGCAGAAAACAAGGUCCAUUCUGUGCCCCAGCACUUGGUCUGACUGCCAACACCACGCCGUGUGUUCAAGCGAAGGAAUCACCGGGAACGUUGGGGUUUUCUCUGCCUCUUCGGCUCCACCCUUCCACCCCCUCCACUGUGGAGCGCCCGUGUCAUCUGGCAGUGACCCCAGUUUGGGAGUGGGGAGGGGUGGGGAUAGUUUGGGAGGCACUUGACACACCUGAGUCAAUCCUGCCAACCUCGCAAUCCCAGCCCCCCGGCUAACGUUUGGCUCAAGAGCCCAGGCCUAAGCCGGCCGGAGAUGUCAUUGCUCUGCUUGCUCACUUUGGUUAGUUCCCAGAGGGGAACACAACCCAUUCUGGGCCCCAGAGAUAGGAGGAAGUUUUCCAAAGGCUUCUGGGAAAAGAUGCCUUGGUCUUUGGGACACAAAACUGGAAUGUUUUCUUGUCAGGUGGAUAGAAGGCUCAAGUGUUAAACCUACAGACGGAGCUGUUAACGUGGAACUCAAUCACGUGAGCCAAUAAGACCCCUGUUUAAGCCCAUUUGAGUUUAAUCUUCUGUUACAGGCAGUCAAUAGCGUCCAGAUUUGGGGGUACACACAUUUGGCACCUGGGGGCCACUCUUCCAAAGCCGCAUUCGAGCAGAUUCUGGUGCUGGUGCCAGCUUUUGUCUCCUCCUAUGUGGCCUUGUCUUGCUGGGUCCUUGACUGCGAGCCCAGUUCUGUGAGGCUGAGGGCCUUGCUUUCAGCCUAAGCUGAAACUGGUCAUGAGUUUGGUCUGGUCUCCAUAAGUACUUGCACACCAAGAACAUCUGACUUCCUGGGUUUUGUGGGUGCCAGUACCCCCUGCCCCCAAGCCCUGCUGCACCACCCUACUGGUAGGCCCCGUCUGGUUGUUUCCCCCAGGGGGGCCUCUACUGUGAAAACCCUGUUCCCUUGGCUCUCUCCUGCCUUUCCUAACUCCCCUGAAGCUGGGAUUUUUUUAUUGAAAAAAAUUUUUUUUUCCAAAUUAGAAAAAGCAAUGGAGAAGAAAACAGGCCUUACUUAUACUCUGGGAAAAUUUAAAUCUCCACAGUCAAGGUGUAAUAAAAUCAUGAUGUAAGCAGCUUUAUGGUUUUUUUGUUUUUGUUUUUUUUCCAGAUGGGAAGAACAGACAAGAAUGUUUUUCAAAAUACUUGAGUCAGGAUAUAGCAUGUUGUAGUGGACCAGUAUGCCAGGCAUCACCCUUGAGAGAUGUGGCAUGGACUUGGGUGGGGGUAGGCAUCGGGGAGGAAGGAGUUCAAGGCCAGGGCAGCAGCUGAUUACCGGUUGGAAGGGCACGUUUGAGUGGUUUAACAGUCCUUACCAGUAAAUUCCAGCUGAGUAUCCAUCUUGGAUAUGUAUACAUUUGUCAAACUCUAUAACAUUUACUUGGAUUUUUUUUAAUGUUUAUUUUUGAGAGAGAGGCAGAGCGUGAAGUGGGGAGGGCAGAGAGAGAGGGAGACACAGAAUCCAAAGCAGGCUCCAGGCUCUGAGCGGUCAGCACAGAGCCCGAUGUGACUCUCAAACCCACGAACUGGUAGAUCAUGACCUGAGCCGAAGUGGGACACUUAACCGACUGAGGCUCCCAGGCGCCCCUUACUUGCAUUUUUAAUGUGGAAAAUCCUAUAAAGGUUUUUGAUUUUUAAAACUGUCACCAACAUUUAUAACAACUUAUGAAAAAGUAACUUUUGAAAAGUAAGUAGCUUAUGAAAUGGGCCAUUGCCUAAAACUAUCAUUUUACUAGGUACCACACGGAAUGACAAACUAUCACACUAAUUGUCAGAAGUAUUCACACUGCGUCGCAGGCUUGGCUGUGACUCGAUGGGAUAAUGGGAUCAUGCAGAAAGCUACUGUUAAAUAGUUUCUAUAAAAGCAGACUCUUAAAAUCAGACUUGGCGGGGGAAAAAACAGGAAGUUGGAAAUGAUCAAGAAAAGUCCACCUUAGCUUUAGGGUUAUCGGAGGAGCGAGCAAGUCUUUCUUGAAAAUAAAAACAAGUCUACUUAGAAAUGGAGGUUUUUUUUCCCUUGAGUUUCAGCUUUGGGGGAAAUGCCUGGUUACAGCAAAACCCAGGCCCCCACGAAGGAAACGCGAAGCGUGAUGUCCCCGGAGGAGCAAAUAAAUGUUUUUGCAGCAGUGACUAAACUUCUCUCUGCUACGGUCCCCAGAUAACACAACAGGGCUGAGAACUGUGCGGGAGAAAGGUGGCGUAGGAGUGCCGACAGCCUGACUCCGCCUUGGGCCCUCCCACCUUGUUCUCCGCUCUGCCACACAGGUGGGACCACGUUAGAGCCUCUGGCGCACAGGUGACACCACUCGAGGACCCCACUGGAAACACUGGUCAUAUUGUCAAGGCUUUGACUGCAAUGUCCUAUUUGAGAGAGGUCUGCAUUGGCUCAGAUACGACCAGACAGCAUUAAGGCACUAAGGUUGAUUUUAUGGAGCCUAUGAAGCCCCUUGGAAACAACUGGCCUGGUACCUUGCUUGUGAGUGUUCCCAGGAACCCUACCAGAAUCACAAGUGAUACCUGCCCACUACUGUUUAAAAUCACUGGUCUAGUCCCUCUCUAUAGCAUUUGUUGCAGACAGCCCUAAAACAGCUGGAAUACAGUCAGCAGGGGCCCGGGCUGGACCAGGCGGAGCAACAGUUCAUCUUGGCAAGUAUGUGUUUAUUUCCUUUGGUGCCUUGCACAGUAAGGCACUAAUGAUGAUAGAACAGAAGAAAUGCCCACAUCAAAUAGUUCUAGUGACAAUUUACUAGACAAGUUACAGUUUAAUGAUGGUGGUGGUGAUUGUUUCAUUUUAUUAUUUUUUACAAUAAGGUUGUAGCCUUUAUACUCCACACACACACA